UAACAACGACUCUCGGCAACGGAUAUCUCGGCUCUCGCAUCGAUGAAGAACGCAGCGAAAUGCGAUACUUGGUGUGAAUUGCAGAAUCCCGUGAACCAUCGAGUCUUUGAACGCAAGUUGCGCCCGAAGCCAUCCGGCCAAGGGCACGUCUGCCUGGGCGUCACACACC
rnacentral:rRNA from 1 species